UACGUAGGGUCCGAGCGUUGUCCGGAAUCACUGGGCGUAAAGCGCACGUAGGCGGAUUGUUAAGUCAGGGGUGAAAUCCUGGAGCUCAACUCCAGAACUGCCUUUGAUACUGGCGAUCUUGAGUCCGGGGAGAGGUGAGUGGAACUGCGAGUGUAGAGGUGAAAUUCGUAGAGUAUUCGCAAGAACACCAGUGGCGAAGGCGGCUCACUGGCCCGGUACUGACGCUGAGGUGCGAAAGCGUGGGGAGCAAACAGGG
rnacentral:rRNA from 1 species